rnacentral:rRNA from 1 species
CACGUAGGGAGCAAGCGUUGUCCGGAUUUAUUGGGCGUAAAGAGCUCGUAGGCUGUUCGAUAAGUCGGGUGUGAAACCUCCAGGCUCAACCUGGAGACGCCACCCGAUACUGUCAUGACUAGAGUCCGGUAGGGGAGCGUGGAAUUCCUGGUGUAGCGGUGAAAUGCGCAGAUAUCAGGAGGAACACCGGUGGCGAAGGCGGCUUGCUGGGCCUUACCUGACGCUGAGGAGCGAAAGCUAGGGGAGCAAACAGG